rnacentral:lncRNA from 1 species
UUCAAUAAUCCUUCACACAGAGGGCAUAAGUUCUUUCUAAAAUGUCCUCAAUUUUGCUAGGACUGUUAUAUCCAGGACUGUAAUUUUUCACAGUUCCAUGGUCUUUGAGUUAAAGCUAAGUGAAUCAGUGAUAGAGAUGGCUAGUCACUGACUAAGACCAGGGCUAUGGCUGACCCAGCCAGAACCCUUCCAGUUAGCAUCAACUAUCCCUUGUGGUCCCAGGGCUUCACUAUGACCAACCCUUGUGUUGCAAGUAUGUUCUAAGUGCUUGGAGGCUCCUCCCAGAGGUGGAGACGAGGGCUGAUCUCUCUUUGGGUGAACAGAAGACUAUGCUAAGGAUUGUUUGAGGUUGGGUGUGGAUUGUGUCAGGGCUUGGAGACCUGACAGACAAAACUUCAACUAGGAGCAAGUUUUAUUAAAAAAAAAGUGUGAAACUCAAGAGUAGGCAAAAAAACCUUGGCUCCACUUCCUUUGGUUAUCAUGCUAUGGUAUUUUCUAGUGAGUCCACCUGGGGCUCAUUGGGCUUUCUUAGAAGUAACUGUGUUCAGUGACAACUGAUUAAGAUUCAGAGGUUUACAACCCUGUGAAAUGAAAGGGUGGCUCAUACGGUCACAGGUACUUUGAAGUUGCCUUAGCUGAAAGCAGUUUCUCCUGUAGAGCCCUCAAGUUCACGUUAUCAGGAUGCAAGCCUGGUAUCACAGUCUUCCUUUUGCAUGUCUCUGCUUUCUUGAAACUUUGGAUGAAAUAUCUUAACUCUGCUUGGGGGUCUGCUAAUUACUAAGGAGUGUUUUUCAAGAUCCACUUAUUUUUAUGUGUAUGAGUACUUUGCCUGAAUGCAUGCAUGUAUACUGCUUGCCUGGCUGGUACCUGCAGAGACUGGGAGAGGAUGGUGGAUCUCCUGGAAUUGGAGUUAAGGAUGAUUUUAAGCCACAGUGUGCAAGUGGAAACAACACAGGUUCUAUUCCAGAACCCCAAGUGCUCUUAACAGAUGGGCCUCCUUUCUCCCUGCCCCAAGACUGGUUUCACAAAGAGCCCAGAACUCAUCUCAUUCCCCACAAGGAUGAAGUUACCAAGAUAAGUAGCUGAGGCAUGCAAGCUUUUAGGGGGUCUUGUUCUAUACUGUAGUCUAGUCUAUAGUCCUGUCCUAAACCAGCAGUCACCUCAGAUUUUAGGAGUAGCAGCUUUCCAAACAUCACCCCUUCAUGUGAUCACUCCAGAAGCAAAGAGGAAUGCUCUCAUGGGAACCAGCUUGCUCUAGCAAUAAGGACUCUUCAAACUACUCUGUUGCAGUUGCUAAUAAAUACUACUCAAAUCGACCAGGUGGCAGCCGUGCAUUUCUCGAUACCCACCCCAAUGUUCUGGGUUCCCAAAUGAAAGAAACAUGCACGCACGCACCCACGUGCCCGCGCGCACACAGCCUUAAACAGCUCAAUGGCUGGGCUACUUCCAAAUCUCCAUGAGGCUAACACACUGUCCCCUCCGGGAAUCCUGAGUUAUUAUUACUUACUGAGACCUAUAUUCCAUCUUUGCUGCCCUAGAUGCAGUCAUGGGGGCGCUGGGGCUGCUCUUCCCCAGCUCUCAUAUGUUGGCUGUCUCUCUGUCUUGCACUUCUCAGACAUGGAAUCUACUCCUCUCCUGGCAUGGCAGCUCCCUCCUUCUUCUUCCUUUGGUCCCUCACCCGGGAAUCCUAAAAGUCCCACUUCUAUGUCUCUGCCCAGCCAUUGGCCACCAGCAACUUUAUUUACCAAUCAAAACCAAAUGGGGACAGGAACCCUCAGUAUCUUAUACAUAGAGGCAUGGAGAUUCUCCUGCAAUUUUGGGGACCAAAUUAAUACAAUGCAUUGAGCAUCAAACCAAGUCCUCAACACUGCUCUGUAGAUCAGAAAAGAGGAGAUGACAGACAGAUGGCAUAGUGACUAGGAUUCCUUGCUCAUGCAUGCCUCUAACGCCCAAUUCUUCCUCCAUUUCACCAUAAAGAUUAUGUCAUCCCUCAGAAAUGGGCAGACACCCUCAGCUGUUGUCUUUCUGUGGGAGUUGUGCUGACUCAAUCUUCUCUGCCUUCCCUCACUUUGGGGUGAAGGGCUUGACUGGGCAUGUGAAAGCCCUGAGUCAGGCCUCUGCUCCAGGACUCCAGUUACAGUGGAAAAUGAAAAAUGUUCUGGUCUUGAUGCACAGCAACAAAGGUAAAGAUGAGGUUUUGUUGUCUAACACCAGCAAAAGAGAUUAAGAUAAUUACUUUGUAUGUCUGGUGUGUGUGUGUGUGUGUGUGUGUGUGUGUGUGUGUGUGUGUGCAUUUGCAUAUGUAUGUAUGCUGAGGAAUGCAGAGGCUAGACGUCGGCCUGGGGUGUUGUUCCUCUGGAGCUGUCCACCAUGUUAUUUUGAAACAGGGUCUCUCAUUGGACCUGAUGAUCUCCACUGAGUAGGUUAUGGUGGUCAACUAGCCAGUCCAGGGAUCCCUGUCUCUGCAUCUCCGCUUGCUUGCAUGCCCAUUGUUUUACUAGGGUGUUGGAGAUUAACCUCAGUUCCUCACACUUGCAUGGUAAGCACUUGUGCCUGAGCUACCUCUGUAGACCUCAGGAUGCUUUUACAAAAUUCUCUACCUUUUCUUAUAUUCUGCUUUCUGUUUUCUCUUUCCUGCCCUUGCUUCAUUAUAGGAUCCUUCGCACCCUCACCUCUCAUGACCCACUCUCUCACAGUGACAACCACAGCAGCUUGCUUCUGUUUUCUUGUUUCUUCCUGUCAGGUCAGAGGUGGAGCCUGCAUGUUCCCAACUCCAGAACAUGCCCCAGGGGCAUUCUUCAACAGUAAUAGUUAAUUUCUUUGUGAAUAGCACAGAAGAAUUCCCAUUGCAAAUCUGGCUCAUUGAGCCUCUGUAUGUUACUCCCUGCAGGAAGCAAUAUAUCUAUGUGUCCUUAACUGUUUCUGCAGAUCAGGGCAAAGCCAAAGUAGAGGGGAGAGGAAUAAAUUAUAGGAUGAAUGAAAAUAUACACAGGACCUCUGCAGUUUUGUCUGAAUCCAUCGCUAGGUUCUAAUCAAUAAAAUGUAUUUUUUUAUUAUUUGAUAGCCCACUCUAAUAUAAUAGGGCAAUAAAUACCGAUGAAAGUGUUCCCAGUGAGCAAUCCCUUUUGGAAUAAUGACUAUUUGAUUAUAGAAUGAUUUGGCUUUUAAUUUACACCAGUGCUUAAUGUGUUCUGUUAACUUAAUAUCCUCCCAGUGGUAAAAGUGCAGCCGCACUCCAAGGCAGUGAUGAAUGUAAACGCAGAGGGAGCCUCAUUAUGGAGUUGGAUCCUGUGUGGGCAUGUCAGAGUCCUGUGGCCUGCAGAGCCAGCUUCCUGCUGCUGGGGUGCUGCUUGGUCUGGCUGGGCCAGGGGUGGAGGAACACAGUGGAGGUGGCUGAGAUCUUGUUCUUUCUGUCCACCUCUUCCUUUGCUGAUUUGUGGGUGUAAAAUAAAUACACAAGGCAUCCAUUCAUCAAGAGAACUUUGAAAGCCUACUGUGUGGCAGCCAAGUUUAAGAGAAGUAUUAAGAGAAACAAAUCCAGAACGCUAAGGAUUGUGGGCCUUGGGAAAUCUCUCUGUGUGAUGAGAGUGGACACUGGCUCUGGGUGUCAGGGAAGCUGUAGUGAGAAGCUGGUUGCCUCUCCUUUCUGACUUCAGCUAUUAGUGACUUUCCCCAGCUUUGAUCACCAAGAGGCACAACUGCUGUACCCAAACUUUCUCAGAUGAAGCGUUUAACCUGUGAAUCCAAUGUCAUUUUUAGCUCAUUAAACACACAGGCUGUACUCAGCCUCAUGCUCACCUGUGUUAGCUCCUCCCACUGCUCCAUACUCCCUAGGCCACUGUCUUCCUGGCUUUGUGCAUCCUUAGACCCUCACUUGGCCCCCUGGGUGUUCCUGUUCGGCUUGUGUGGGCCCUGCUCUGAGACAGUUCUUGAAAGGGCAGCAGACGAGCAGACUUUCCCCUUCCAUAAUCCUGGCCCUCCAGAUGGUCACUGCGAGCUCAGAGGACAGUUCAAUAUUGACACAAAAUGAAACUUACAGUCAAGCUAAUCAAACGUGUGCAUAAUUACAUACACUAUGGUCAUUAUGCUUCUUGGUAAUGAGACAUGGGUGAUUAGCAGCUUUUGAGUGGCUGUAAUUAGGCUUGCUUGUUGGAGUCAGAGACUGUGCUGGGUGUGUGUGACUGUGUGUGUGCAAGCCCACACUUGUGUGUGUGUGCACUAGUGCAUAGGAAUGUGUGCAUGUGAAUCUGUGCAAGUGUGCAUUUGCAUCAGUGUGCAUGUGUGUGCAAGUGUGAAUGCAUGAGUGUGUGAGUACCUGUGUGCAUGUGAAUAUGUGUGUGAGCAUGCAUGGGGAGAGAGAGUGCUGGAGCAGAGGGAAGAGCUUUGGCCCCUUACAGUGCACAGGGAAAUGGUGUCUUCAAUAACACCAGUUAUGCCCGCAUACUUUAUCCACCUCACUGGCUCCUCCCUGCUGAGCAUCCCUAAAGCACUUUCCCAGUCUCUUUUAAAACUUUUUAUCCCUUCCUCUGAUUGAAGAAGAGUAGGGCCUCAACAGGCCAGCUACUCUCAUGGAAAAGAAAGCCUCUGCUUCAAGUUUCCUCUGGGUGUGUCCCUGGCAGCUCCUUGGAUGGGCAGGCAGGGCUAGUGGAGCCUUAGGGUGGAUUGUGAAGAGCUGAGCCAGUGUGUCUCAGUCUCUGACUGAGGAGGUGUUGCUUGGGGUCAUCUUUGUCUGACUUACAUUUGUGUUCAUUCUCUCCUACCACAGUAGUAAUCUAGUAAGGGAUUACUCACUAACCAUCUGAUGAAUUCAGAUGCUCCUAUGUAGAGGGUCCUCCAUAUCAGGUACUCAGUAUACUACAGGGAAGUUAACCUUGAAUAUGAGCUUACAUGAAUAAUCAACAAAACGUGUGUGUGUGUGUGUGUGUGUGCGUGUGCGUGUGCGUGUGCGUGUGCGCAUGCAUGAGAGAGAGAGAGAGAGAGAGAGAGAGAGAGAGAGAGAGAGAGAGAAAAGAGACCAUCUUGCAGAAAGAACAGAAGAACAAUAGAUUUGCUUCCCAGCACUGGAGGAAGCAGACAUUUUAUAAACAUACUUAAAGUGUUAAAACACACCAAAAAGCCACAUGGAGCCAUAACACAUAGCAGGCACAUCUUAAAGAUAACCAGAAAGUAAUCUUAUAACUAAUCAUUAUGUUACAGUUGUAGAACAAGAGACAGAGAAGAGGAACAAGAAUAACAGGAAGAGCUUUGUAAAUCAGAAGAUAGAUCCAGGGAA